UCCUGCUAAUCCCUAAUGGCUCAAUUCAGCUGCUACCUCCUUGGCAUCUGUGCCUGACCCAUCUCUUUCCCACCCCUCCACUGGCCUCAUCACUCCCCCACCCUCACCCAUGCCACCCCACAGGCGUAGCUCCGCCCACGUUGCUCCCACAGGGCCACGUUCCUUUUCGUUUAGCAUUUGUUGCCUCUCUUUAUUUUCAUCUAUUUGCUUCUCUGCCGCAACUGUCCAUUGUGAACUUUGCAAGGGCACGUGUUCCGCACUGAUUUUUCUUUGUAUUUAAAAGCCCGGAACAGAGCUGGUGCAUAAGAGCUCGGUGAACGUUUGGUGCGUGGAACGCCGGGCGCAGAAUUUCAGACACCAACCAAGAUGCUGAAGGGAUUUGACUUGAACCAAGGAAGCCUAACCCUAGGCUCGAUGUGCUGAAUGAAGUAUGAAGAGGGAUGCCCUUCCAAAGGUGGCACUUGAACUGAGAUGCCAUGUAAUAUUUUGGAAACAAAAAAAGAUAAAAGUAAAUCUAUCAUUGUUUAA